rnacentral:rRNA from 1 species
UUACCGAGUGCGGGCCCCUCGGGGCCCAACCUCCCACCCGUGUUGCCCGAACCUAUGUUGCCUCGGCGGGCCCCGCGCCCGCCGACGGCCCCCCUGAACGCUGUCUGAAGUUGCAGUCUGAGACCUAUAACGAAAUUAGUUAAAACUUUCAACAACGGAUCUCUUGGUUCCGGCAUCGAUGAAGAACGCAGCGAAAUGCGAUAACUAAUGUGAAUUGCAGAAUUCAGUGAAUCAUCGAGUCUUUGAACGCACAUUGCGCCCUCUGGUAUUCCGGAGGGCAUGCCUGUCCGAGCGUCAUUGCUGCCCUCAAGCCCGGCUUGUGUGUUGGGCCCCGUCCCCCCCGCCGGGGGGACGGGCCCGAAAGGCAGCGGCGGCACCGCGUCCGGUCCUCGAGCGUAUGGGGCUUCGUCACCCGCUCUAGUAGGCCCGGCCGGCGCCAGCCGACCCCCAACCUUUAAUUAUCUCAGGUUGACCUCGGAUCAGGUAGGGAUACCCGCUGAACUUAAGCAUAUCAAUAA